rnacentral:lncRNA from 1 species
AGGAAGUCAGAGUCCCCAGAAGUCAGCCAGUGGGCAGAGGCCUGGGUCUCUGGACCGGGAGCUGCUGAUGCUGAUCAAAAUCAGCAAGUGCUUAAGAGUACCUAGUGGGCCUAGCUCAGUGCUGGGGACAGAAAGCACAGGCCCUGUCCCUGGGGAGCUUGUCCUUUGUCAGCAGGAUGCAGGUGCUACACAGGAAGGUGU